rnacentral:rRNA from 1 species
GUUUGAUCCUGGCUCAGAACGAACGUUAGCGGCGCGCCUAACACAUGCAAGUCGAGCGAGAAAGGGGCAACCCCGGUAAAGCGGCGCACGGGUGAGUAACACGUAGGUAAUCUACCCUCGGGUGGAGGAUAACUUUCCGAAAAGGAAGGCUAAUACUGCAUGAGACCACGAUUCCGGAAGGGAUUGAGGUCAAAGCCGGCCACUGUACACAAGCUGGCGCCUGAGGAUGAGCCUGCGGCCCAUCAGCUAGUUGGUAGGGUAAUGGCCUACCAAGGCGAAGACGGGUAGCUGGUCUGAGAGGAUGAUCAGCCACACUGGAACUGAGACACGGUCCAGACUCCUACGGGAGGCAGCAGUGGGGAAUCUUGCGCAAUGGGCGAAAAGCCUGACGCAGCGACGCCGCGUGAGUGAUGAAGG